rnacentral:rRNA from 1 species
GGAGUUAGCCGGUGCUUCUUCUGUGAGUGAUGUCCUUCCUGCCGGCUAUUAACCCGCAGGCCUUCUUCCUCACUGAAAGUGCUUUACAACCCGAAGUCCUUCUUCACACACGCGGCAUGGCUGGAUCAGGGUUGCCCCCAUUGUCCAAUAUUCCCCACUGCUGCCUCCCGUAGGAGUCUGGGCCGUGUCUCAGUCCCAGUGUGGCUGAUCAUCCUCUCAGACCAGCUACGGAUCGUCGCCUUGGUGAGCCGUUACCUCACCAACCAGCUAAUCCGACAUAGGCUCAUCCGAUAGCGCGAGGCCCGAAGGUCCCCCGCUUUCCCCCGUAGGGCGUAUGCGGUAUUAGCCUGGGUUUCCCCAGGUUAUCCCCCACUACCGGGCAGAUUCCUAUGCAUUACUCACCCGUCCGCCGCUCGCCACCAGGGAGCAAGCUCCCCGUGCUGCCGCUCGACUUGCAUGUGUUAGGCCUGCCGCCAGCGUUCAAUCUGAGCCAGAAUCAAACUCUGA